GUCAGCAGGAGUCGGAUGGGAGAAUGCCCGCAGUCGUGCGUGGGGGAAAGCUUGCGAGAAGAGACGCUCAGCGUGCAGCUCAACCCAGAAAACCACACUCGGAGGGAUGCUGCCGUGGUUUAGUGGUCUUCACGCUGGAGGUGGAAUCCGCAGGGUCGACAGAUCGAUCUCCCUGCACGGAGUUUAAAACAACGACUAAAAAACAUGGCACCGAAGACAAACUUCGCGAGAAAAUGCCACCGAAUGGACGCGUUCCAUUUUCCACGUUGACCCCCGUGACCUCGCGACUUUUUGGAGGGUGGCCCAGAUAA